rnacentral:rRNA from 1 species
GUGUCAGCAGCCGCGGUAAUACGGAAUGUGCAAACGUUAUUCGGAAUCACUGGGCUUAAAGAGUCUGUAGGCGGUUUGUUAGGUGAGGUGUGAAAUCCCUCGGCCCAACCGAGGAAUUGCGCUUCAAACCGGCGAGCUAGAGGAGGAUAGAGGUGGGCGGAACUGAUGGUGGAGCGGUGAAAUGCGUUGAUAUCAUCAGGAACACCGGAGGCGAAAGCGGUCCACUGGGUCCUUUCUGACGCUGAUGGACGAAAGCUAGGGGAGCGAACGGGAUUAGAUACCCCCGUAGUCC